UUGAUCCUGGCUCAGAUUGAACGCUGGCGGCAGGCUUAACACAUGCAAGUCGAGCGGAGAGAGGUAGCUUGCUACUGAUCUUAGCGGCGGACGGGUGAGUAAUACUUAGGAAUCUGGCUAUUAGGGGGGGACAACAUUUCGAAAGGGAUGCUAAUACCGCAUACGUCCUACGGGAGAAAGCAGGGGAUCUUCGGACCUUGCGCUAAUAGAUGAGCCUAAGUCGGAUUAGCUAGUUGGUGGGGUAAAGGCCUACCAAGGCGACGAUCUGUAGCGGGUCUGAGAGGAUGAUCCGCCACACUGGGACUGAGACACGGCCCAGACUCCUACGGGAGGCAGCAGUGGGGAAUAUUGGACAAUGGGGGGAACCCUGAUCCAGCCAUGCCGCGUGUGUGAAGAAGGCCUUAUGGUUGUAAAGCACUUUAAGCGAGGAGGAGGGUACUGGUAUUAAUACUACCAGGUACUGGACGUUACUCGCAGAAUAAGCACCGGCUAACUCUGUGCCAGCAGCCGCGGUAAUACAGAGGGUGCGAGCGUUAAUCGGAUUUACUGGGCGUAAAGCGUGCGUAGGCGGCUAAUUGAGUCGGAUGUGAAAUCC
rnacentral:rRNA from 1 species